rnacentral:rRNA from 1 species
GUCUUAUGGUUAGCUGAGCGGACGGGUGAGUAACACGUAGGCAACCUGCCCAUAAGAUCGGGAUAACUUUCGGAAACGGAUGCUAAGACCGGAUAAACUAUUUUGUCGCCUGGCUGGAUUGGGAAACACGGAGUAAGCUGUGGCUUGUGGAUGGGCCUGCGGCGCAUUAGCUAGUUGGUGGGGUAAAGGCUCACCAAGGCGACGAUGCGUAGCCGACCUGAGAGGGUGAACGGCCACACUGGGACUGAGACACGGCCCAGACUCCUACGGGAGGCAGCAGUAGGGAAUCUUCCACAAUGGGCGAAAGUCUGAUGGAGCAACGCCGCGUGAGUGAGGAAGGUUUUCGGGUCGUAAAGCUCUGUUGCCAGGGAAGAAUAAGGAUCAGAUAACUGGUGGUCUGAUGAACGUACCUGAAAAAAAAGCCCCCGGUAACUAACUGGCAACAGCCGCGGGAAUACCUAAGGGGGAAGCGUUGUUCCGAAUUAUUGGGCGUAAAGCGCGCGCAAGGGGGUCUUUAAGUCUGGUGUCUAAAAGCGUGGGCUCCACCCUGAGAUGCCCUGGAAACUGGGGAACUUCAGUGACAGAAGAAGAGAGCGGAAUUUCCACCGUGUAGCGGUGAAAUGCGUAGAGUAUGUGGA